rnacentral:tRNA from 1 species
GGUUGUGGCUUAGUGGUACGGCACUUGCCUAGCAUGCGUGAGGCACUGGGUUCGAUCCCCGGAACCA